UACGUAGGGUGCAAGCGUUAAUCGGAAUUACUGGGCGUAAAGCGUGCGCAGGCGGUUGUGCCAGACAGAUGUGAAAUCCCCGGGCUUAACCUGGGAACUGCAUUUGUGACUGCACGGCUAGAGUACGGUAGAGGGGGAUGGAAUUCCGCGUGUAGCAGUGAAAUGCGUAGAUAUGCGGAGGAACACCGAUGGCGAAGGCAGUCCCCUGGACCUGUACUGACGCUCAUGCACGAAAGCGUGGGGAGCAAACAGG
rnacentral:rRNA from 1 species